rnacentral:rRNA from 2 species
ACGGCUCAGUAACACGUAGUCAACAUGCCCAGGGGACGUGGAUAACCUCGGGAAACUGAGGAUAAACCGCGAUAGGUCAUCACUUCUGGAAUGGGUAAUGACUUAAACCUAUAUGGCCCCUGGAUUGGACUGCGGCCGAUCAGGCUGUUGGUGAGGUAAUGGCCCACCAAACCUGUAACCGGUACGGGCUCUGAGAGGAGGAGCCCGGAGAUGGGCACUGAGACAAGGGCCCAGGCCCUAUGGGGCGCAGCAGGCGCGAAACCUCUGCAAUAGGCGAAAGCUUGACAGGGUUACUCUGAGUGAUUUCCGUUAAGGAGAUCUUUUGGCACCUCUAAAAAUGGUGCAGAAUAAGGGGUGGGCAAGUCUGGUGUCAGCCGCCGCGGUAAUACCAGCACCCCGAGUGGUCGGGACGUUUAUUGGGCCUAAAGCAUCCGUAGCCGGUUCUACAAGUCUUCCGUUAAAUCCACCUGCUUAACAGAUGGGCUGCGGAAGAUACUAUAGAGCUAGGAGGCGGGAGAGGCAAGCGGUACUCGAUGGGUAGGGGUAAAAUCCGUUGAUCCAUUGAAGACCACCAGUGGCGAAGGCGGCUUGCCAGAACGCGCUCGACGGUGAGGGAUGAAAGCUGGGGGAGCAAACCGGAUUAGAUACCCGGGUAGUCCCAGCUGUAAACGAUGCAGACUCGGUGAUGAAUUGGCUUAUUGCUAAUUCAGUGCCGCAGGGAAGCCGUUAAGUUUGCCGCCUGGGGAGUACGGUCGCAAG